CCACCAUUAACCCCUGGGAACUACCAAACCCCUCCACGGUACAACAAUGCCCGAUCUUUCAUCAGGUGCCACACAUGUAACCAGCAGGGCCACAUGCAGAGAGACUGUCCCAGAAACAGAAACCGCUCCACGUGGAAUACUCCAACUAAUUCCCCUGCAAACCGGGCAGCAGUACACUGCUACCAGAGUGAGCCUCGACAACCUUUCUUCGGGAUCCGGUCUAAUGAAGAAUCUUUGGGCACCCUCCACGAGGUUAACCCAGUACAAGCAGCUGCAGACAACCGACAGGGACACCGCCAAGGGGUACACACAGAGGGAAAACGCCUUCAGGGUCUGCGUUCU